rnacentral:tRNA from 1 species
GCCUCGGUGGUGAAAUGGUAGACACGCUAGAUUCAA